CCUACGGGAGGCAGCAGUGAGGAAUAUUGGUCAAUGGGCGGGAGCCUGAACCAGCCAAGUCGCGUGAGGGAAGACGGCCCUAUGGAUUGUAAACCUCUUUAGGCGGGGAGCAAUGCCGGCCACGUGUGCCCGGAGGGAGAGUACCCGCAGCAUAAGCAUCGGCUAACUCCGUGCCAGCAGCCGCGGUAAUACGGAGGAUGCGAGCGUUAUCCGGAUUUAUUGGGUUUAAAGGGUGCGUAGGCGGAUUGCUAAGUCAGCGGUAAAAUGUCCGGGCUCAACCUGGCCCCGCCGUUGAAACUGGGGUUCUUGAGUGGGCGAGAAGUAUGCGGAAUGCGUGGUGUAGCGGUGAAAUGCAUAGAUAGCACGCAGAAAUCCGAUUGCGAAGGCAGCAUACCGGCGCCCAACUGACGCUGAGGCACGAAAGCGUGGGUAUCGAACAGGAUUAGAUACCCGAGUAGUC
rnacentral:rRNA from 1 species